rnacentral:rRNA from 1 species
UCCGUAGGUGAACCUGCGGAAGGAUCAUUAAAAAAAGAGAAACGUCCCGUUUUUUUUCAUAAGAAUGGGUUCUAUUCCCUUAAACCGUGUCUACAUACCUUUGUUGCUUUGGCAGGCCGCCUUCGGGCGUCGGCUCCGGCUGAUAGUGCCUGCCAGAGGACCCAAACUCUAUGUUUAGUGAUGUCUGAGUACUAUAUAAUAUUUAAAACUUUCAACAACGGAUCUCUUGGUUCUGGCAUCGAUGAAGAACGCAGCGAAAUGCGAUAAGUAAUGUGAAUUGCAGAAUUCAGUGAAUCAUCGAAUCUUUGAACGCACAUUGCGCCCCUUGGUAUUCCGAGGGGCAUGCCUGUUCGAGCGUCAUUAUAACCACUCAAGCCUGGCUUGGUAUUGGGGUUUUCGCGUGUUCGCGGCCCUUAAAAUCAGUGGCGGUGCCGUCUGGCUCUAAGCGUAGUAAUUUCUCUCGCUAUAGGGUUCCGGUGGUUACUUGCCAAAACCCCCCAUUUUUUUCUAGGUUGACCUCGGAUCAGGUAGGGAUACCCGCUGAACUUAA